CUCGGGGAUAGGCUGGGCAUUGGUCAGCAGGUGGCCGCAGCCAGCUUCAUGGCCGAAUCCCACCACAGGUCCCACCGAUGCAGUUCCCACCUGGAACAAGCAGUUACAGUUGCAUUCUUACCACUUUCAUCACAACCAGAAACACUGGAGGAAUGGGACUGAAGGAGGCAUACAAAAGGGAGCAAUUCUGAUGCUUCUGUAACAUCUGGGGAUGGCAGGGCCUGCAUUACUGAUGAGCCUGGGUGUUUUUCUUCUACCUUUUUCUUCAUCCAAGAACAAUUAGUGCACACACUUGUUUUACUGCUUUUCUUCCUUUCCCCUUAUUUUUCCCCACUCCUUAUACCAUGAUGACCGCUUUGGAGGUGGUUAAAAUAAUAUCCCAGGCUGACAGAAGAGGAGAGGGUGAGGACUGUGAAGGAGGCUAAAAAAGAAACCCUUUGUGUUUGUAGGAGUGCAAAGAGAAAAUGUGUUUUUUCACUACAGGGAAAGGAUUAGGGUCCUGAAAAACAAGCACAAAAAGGGCUUAGAGCCUUUAUCUUACCAGAUACCAUUAAAGGUAUGCUGUCUUAAAUUGUCCCUGAAUUGGAAGAGAGUAUGUCAUCUUGCUUCUACUUACUUUAGUAAAGCAUUAUGUUAUUCUUUGUGUGGUAGCAUUAUAUGUCAGUAACAGUAAAAUUCUCCUUUUCUGAUUUAUUUAUUGUUAAUUAUGCAAAUUCAUUCUAAUAUAAAGUGUCACUUAGA